rnacentral:rRNA from 1 species
GCUUAACACAUGCAAGUCGAACGAUGAACCWCUUCGGNGGGGAUUAGUGGCGAACGGGUGAGUAACACGUGGGCAAUCUGCCCUGCACUCUGGGACAAGCCCUGGAAACGGGGUCUAAUACCGGAUACUGACCCUCACGGGCAUCUGUGAGGUUCGAAAGCUCCGGCGGUGCAGGAUGAGCCCGCGGCCUAUCAGCUUGUUGGUGAGGUAAUGGCUCACCAAGGCGACGACGGGUAGCCGGCCUGAGAGGGCGACCGGCCACACUGGGACUGAGACACGGCCCAGACUCCUACGGGAGGCAGCAGUGGGGAAUAUUGCACAAUGGGCGAAAGCCUGAUGCAGCGACGCCGCGUGAGGGAUGACGGCCUUCGGGUUGUAAACCUCUUUCAGCAGGGAAGAAGCGAAAGUGACGGUACCUGCAGAAGAAGCGCCGGCUAACUACGUGCCAGCAGCCGCGGUAAUACGUAGGGCGCGAGCGUUGUCCGGAAUUAUUGGGCGUAAAGAGCUCGUAGGCGGCUUGUCACGUCGGUUGUGAAAGCCCGGGGCUUAACCCCGGGUCUGCAGUCGAUACGGGCAGGCUAGAGUUCGGUAGGGGAGAUCGGAAUUCCUGGUGUAGCGGUGAAAUGCGCAGAUAUCAGGAGGAACACCGGUGGCGAAGGCGGAUCUCUGGGCCGAUACUGACGCUGAGGAGCGAAAGCGUGGGGAGCGAACAGGAUUAGAUACCCUGGUAGUCCACGCCGUAAACGGUGGGCACUAGGUGUGGGCGACAUUCC